rnacentral:pre_miRNA from 9 species
UCUCGAUAGCGUAAAAGUUAAGCGAAAUUUUGUAUGGAAUUGAAAAGUUUGCUUAUGUUUGCCGCUAGGGGCAUUGUUCCAACUGCAUAUAAAUUUGAGUUAACUUUUACGCUAUCGA